ACCGUGCAGUCUUAACCGUUAAUCGCUUUUUAUCCCACUGGAACGCAGGCAAAACCACUGGCUGAAGCUAGUACUAGUUUAAGGAACAGAGAGUAAAGUUCCCUAAGUAAAGCAGUAUCCUCCGACCAGGCGGUGAUCGUGCCUGGCGGACUUUCUGCCCAACUGUAGUUCGUUGGGAUUUUCUAUCCGUGUUUAUUCGCAUGUAUACUUCACAUGUGCGAUGUAUGGUUUAUGACGUCAUCCGUUCAAAAUCAAAGUCAAGUCAAAAUUAUUUCAAAUAGACCAGGAAGGCACUUUUGAACGUCAAAGCAAAUAUAAUAAUAUUAAUAACGUCUGUCUGUCGGUCAGUCCUCUAGUUGCUCUAUUUGCUCGUUCCAAAGUGUAGAUUCCUAUGGAGAAGAACGAGCAAGAAACUCCAUAGGUUACUCUUUUUCAAUCAGAUUCACAGUGUCCACUGCUGACCAAAGGCCUCUUCUCACACGGAGAAGGUUUGAGCAUUAACCACCAUGCUUGCUUAAUGCGGGUUGGCAAUUUGAAACUUAUAAUCAGAAAUUAUAAGCCCAGGUUUCCUCACGAUGUUUUCCUUCACCGUUUGUCAGUGGUGUCUAAGUAAUGUUAGAAAGUACAUAUAACUCGGAAAUAGUCCCAUUAGUACUUGCCAUAAUAUAAGCGCCUAGUAUGGCUACAAACUAGUCGAGCUACCUCGUCAAACAGUUACAUGAAUCGACCGUUAAACAUAAUUAAUUUAAUUUAUACCCGUUUCUAUGAACCACUCCUAAAUUUUAGGGGACCUCUUAGCUAAGAUAAGUCAUUUAACGACAUUCUUACUUUCAACCUAUAAAGGUACGCGUCCACAGGUCCGUAUCGUACGCAUCGUACGCAUCGGACUUUAGUUUGCUUGGACUUGUAUAGAAACUCAUACAACUGCGUCCACUGAUCCGCAUCGUACGGAUCGCAUCAUCGGCAAUGCCUACAUGCGAUGCGUACUGAUGACGUCAUACGGAAUGUGCGAUGCGGGCCUGUGGACGCUUACCUUAAGUGACACCUAAAAGUACAAAUAAGCAACUCUUAACUAAGAGACGGUUUAGGAGUGGUUGGUAGGAAUGGUUUAAAGUGUGCUGUGCAUACUUAGUAGUUUAAUGACUAUAAUAAAAUGUUACGACUUUUGCUA